GGAGCGUUGUCCGAGCGGCCGAAGGUGACAGUCUUGAAAACUGUUGUGCAGCGAUCCUGCACCGUGGGUUCGAAUCCCACACGCUCCGCCA
rnacentral:tRNA from 1 species